UCUCCUAUUUGAUGUUGGCUUGGCUCAAUCAAAUCAAAGUUCUUGAAAUUUGAGUUCUUUUGUUUGAUUGAGUCGUGUCAAUAUCAUAUCGAAGAUG
rnacentral:pre_miRNA from 1 species